GGGAACUUGGCUCAGUGGUAGAGUGCUUGCCUUGCAUGCAUGAGGCCCUGGGUUUGAUUCCUCAGUACCA
rnacentral:tRNA from 1 species